rnacentral:rRNA from 1 species
UACAGAGGUCUCAAGCGUUGUUCGGAUUCAUUGGGCGUAAAGGGUGCGUAGGUGGCGCGCUAAGUCAGGCGUGAAAUUUCGGAGCUUAACUCCGAAACUGCAUUUGAUACUGGCGUGCUUGAGGACUGGAGAGGAGACUGGAAUUUACGGUGUAGCAGUGAAAUGCGUAGAGAUCGUAAGGAAGACCAGUGGCGAAGGCGGGUCUCUGGACAGUUCCUGACACUGAGGCGCGAAGGCCAGGGGAGCAAACGGG